rnacentral:sRNA from 2 species
UGUAUCUGAAGUCUGACGAGGAUGAGAACCUCCGGGGGCAAGAGGUUCGACUCGAGCGAAGCGAGAGAACGUUGCGUCAGCAACGGCCCGCAGGGCGAGCCACGCAGUGGCGAGUCAUCCUCUAUCACC